UCCACAGUAGCUCAGUGGUAGAGCUAUCGGCUGUUAACCGAUCGGUCGUAGGUUCGAACUAUAUUCUAUCAUGGAG
rnacentral:tRNA from 1 species